rnacentral:lncRNA from 1 species
CACGAGCCGGGCCAGCACGAGCGGGGCGACCACGAGCCGGGCCAGCACGAGCGGGGCGAGCUCAGCCAAGUCCAGGUUGACCAGCCGUCAUGGCAAUGAGAAUCCGGAUGAAACGUGUUACUCCGUGAUGAGUCUCGACUUCACAUGUAUGGACCAAAGCAGUGACUCGACCCCAGCCAAGAGGCAUCGAGAUGAUGAUGAUGAUGAUGAGGAGGAGGAGGAGGUGGUGGUCCGGCCCCCCUCCCCGCCACCAAAGAGGCGUCGUCGGGACCGGGACGAUGACGAGCCUCCGUCACCACCCCGCCGGUCUCAAAGAAUCGAGGAGGUGAAGAGGGCGCAGGGCUUCGCGUUUUGAGGUUGCUGUUCUGCCUCUCCGCUAACGUGCAGCUGUAGUACACUUGUGCUUAUAUCAGGGUGUGAAGCUCAAAUCAAAAGAGGCUGUAUGGCAGCUCGACACAUGCCCUUUCUAGAAAUUUCUUCUGAGGUUUUGGGCCUCACAUUUGCUGUGGUGCAUUGGAAGGAUUUUGGAAGGUGCAUUGAAGGAUUUUAUGAAGUUGUUGAUCCUCGUCUUGUAUUAGUUUUGAGAACUUCAGCUACUGGCACAGCUGAAAUGGAUCUAGCUGACUGGCGGAGAAAUACUAAAUAUAGAUCUGAUUACAUGGUCAUCAUGUCAUGCAGUGGUUUUGGUCUGCAACUGAGCGUUUCAGCAAUGAACAAAGACUAAGGCUAUUACAGUUUGUGACUGGGGCAUCCAGUACCCCAUAUGAAGAGUUUGCUGCUUUUUGAGGUUCCACUAGCCCAAAAUAGUUUUGUAUUGAGAAAUGGGGAAAGCCCACCAAGAAUUCUACAAGCCAAGGCAUUGCUUUUGUAUGGCCUGUUUCUCUGGUUGACAACGUAAGCAGUUUUGCACAGAUAAAACAAUUUUACUAUUUGACGACCUAAGCAGAGUUCAUCAAUGUUGCGACUGAUGAUCGAAUUCUGAUUUUAAUCGGGGAAGAUAUUUUACUUUUUGUUUUUUUUAUGCGGAGAGGUUGUUUUACUGAACAUUUUUAUGUCUUGUUUUUAAUUGUUGACGCAAUUGGGAGAAAGGAUAUUUUUGAGAGGAAAACAGACAAAACAAUUUUACUUUUUGACGACCUAAGCAGAGUUGAUCAAUGUUGCGACUGAAGAUCCAAUUCUGAUUUUAAUCUGGGAAGAUUUUUAACUUUUUUUUUGAUGCGGAGAGGUUGUUUUCCUGAACAUUUUUAUGUCCUGUUUUUAAUUGUUGACGCAAUUGGGAGAAAGGAUAAUUUUGAGAGGGAAACAGUCAAAACAAUUUUACUUUUUGCCACCUCAGCUGAGUUGAUCAAUGCUGCAGCUGAGGAUCCAAUCCCGAUUUCAACAUGGGUAUAACUUUAUUGUUUUCGACAAGGUGAUCUUCUAAGUUGUUGACUUAGUCGGACGAGAGGAGGAUGCUUUUUGAGAGGCAAACACAUCAAAUUUUUUGAUUCUGUAAGUUAUUUUGAAUUUCAUCUGCUUUGUUGCUGAGAUUUUCGUUCUUCUCUGUACUCAUCCUUACAUUUAUUAUCUUCAGGUGACAAAGGUUCAAAUGUUACAAGAAGUUACAGUAAUUGAUUGAUUGGGACAAUGAGGCUUCUCAUUUGAUGAAAAUGGCAUACAUACACACAUUAUGUGUAAUAUGUACGAGUAUUCACCAUAUCAGGUGCCAUGCUGGUCAUCAGAGAACGAACACUUCAAUGAGCGCUGCUGAACACCUGGAUGGCUUCAGAGUCAAGUGAAGUGAGAGAGAGUGAAGUGAGAUGCCGUCAUUCAAGACGAGUCCUGGCUGCUUCAUUCUAAUCUAAGAGAGCUAUGGAUGCAUCACGCUAAAUGCUUGUUAAGCUACAUGUUUGGCCCAUAUUUGUUGUUCUAUUGUGAGUAAGAAUAUAUCCUUGUAUACUGUAAAGGAGAUUGUUGGACAAGUGUCCUUGCGAAAAGUGCAGUUUUGUGCUCCAGAUGAUCAAGCUCAAUAUUACGCCACUCUUCAGAAUGAAUAGGAUUGUGAGAGUUAUGCUCUGUUGUGUUUGGCAAGAGUUGCUUUCAAUACUGGCUCUUGUGUAAGAUUCACAAUGGCUUUCACUGUAUCCAAUUUUUAGAGCUUUUGCUCUCAUAUUAAUCUUUCAAUUUCCUUCAAAAGUAAUUUGCUGCCCGAAAUUUCCUUUGGAUCAAUCUUUACUUUGAAUACCCCAAAUCAAUUUUUCUUUGUAUAUUGUUUAGGUAGGAGCGUAGGUUUGGUUGGGUUACUUGCUGCCUUCUUGUGAUGGCCAAAAGUGCAGAAUUAGGAAUGGUGGGAAGUGUACCAUAUUCAAACAGAGUCUCAAUUUUUGUGAAGGGUUUGUCACGUUUUCCCCUUGAUCUGCUGAUGUCCAGCAGAACGGCAGGUUAAUUUUAUGACCUUUUUCCACUUGAUGUGAGCACAUUUUCAUUUAGUUCAUUUUCCUUCCCCUCCCAUGAAACGCUUCAGAACAGUCCAGUAAUACACAUGUCUUGUUGCUUGGUGCCAAUCUCAACAGUGAACAACAAGUGAACGUAGAUGACAGGUCCUCACUCGUCUUAAACUUGAUGAUAGUAUCCGUGUGAAAGGGCGCCAUUUCUCAUGGAUAUUUUUGACAAAUUUUUUGGAAGAACAUUAAGCUGUGAUGCAUAUGAAUGAAUGAAAUGUAUAUGCUAGCCUGGUUUCAAGUAUGUAUGCUAACAUGUGUGAGAGAAAUGGUGGUGGUGGUAGUUGCGCAGCUUGGGGCCCCCUGUGUUGUUUAGAUGAUCGUAGUUACUGGUAUUUUGUGCUUCAACGUUCUUCCAAAAAUUUGUUUGAAAAUGACGAGUUGGGGCAGGAGUUAGGCAGGCACUGAGAGCACUGCGUCACUCCCUCCUUAGGAAUAUUCUAGAUCCGCACCUGGAGUUAUAUUGUCCAGAUUAUGCAAUGGCCAAUUUUGCGAUGAUGGAAUUUUUGCCCUCAUCUUUUGCCUGCAGAGUAUGCGUGAUGGAUGGCACAGAAUUGGUGUCUCCCUCAAGCCUGUAUUGGUCAAGAGUCAUAGAAUCUCUUUACAUGUGGCAUAUAAAUGUGAUACAUUCACCGCAUUUGUGGCUUAGAACAUAUGUUUUAAGAGAACAUUUUAAAGCCGAUGUUUCCUGAUGGCUGCGCUGUUGAGUAGAGCUGGCACGCAACUUUUGAGUUCAUGAUUCACUGCUUCCAAGAUGCGCAUUAUGACUAUACUGUUCAUCAAUAUUGAUCAUGUUCUACCUGUCCUAUGUCUCACUCACACGUUACAGAAAGUGACUGUCCCGUAGAACCACAAGAUUCAUUCACAUUCACCCUCUUCUGCCUCUUUGCAUCCCUUUUGAUAAGGGAGUACAAUAGCCAAUUUCCUGAUGUUUGACCUGCCAAUGGGAUGAUAAGAACAAGCCGACACAUGAAUUUAUUAAUUUUGACUCUGUUUGUUUGGUGCACUCCUCACUUUUUCUGUUUUUGCGCUUUGUUGUGAUAUGUACUGGUGUCUUCCACCUCAUCAGAUGUAAUGCUUGUAAUGUUUUUACUUUCACUUGGCUUGAAAGAGCUGAAUUUGGCUGAGUCACAGCGGGGGUAAAUGCUCAGUUUUCUGAUAGUUCAAUUUGUAUAAGAAUUUCAAUAGUAAAUUCUGAUCCAGGGGAUGUUAAUGGGCAGCAUUCAGAAAUUAAGUAAUCCUUUAAAAGCUAAUUAAAUGAGCCUUUGUUGAAGCCUCUCUUGCAUUCACUUCAGAUAGUGUUUACCCCAUGGUUCUUGUACUGAAGUUCCAUCUUAUUUUGUAGUGUUUUUUACCUGGGACAGGCGAACAGGUUUUUAUGAGUCAUAAAAAGUUAGUUCUUUGUGGAUUGCGAUGCUGUAUUGCUCUUUGAGUGAAACUUUUUAACUCGUUUUGGUAUUUUUAUGAUUGUAUUUAGUAAAUUGCUAAGCUCGAGGAGAAAUGGAUAUGAUACGAUUAUUGUACUUCAGAAUAAGAGUAGUUCUUGGUUUGGCCUUUGUUUGAAUUUGCUAACUGAACUAAGAUAUAGAUGGUUUGAAGUUUUCCUGAAACUCUGAAAGUUGCGUGAUCAGGAGUAUUCUUCAAUUCAGGAAUAUGUUUGUAACAAAAGAAAGGUGGAAAGUGUUAUAAUUUGUUUCUUAUUAUUUUACUAUUUGUUUAUCCGUCAUCUGUUACAUAUUGUUGGUUUACUUUGGAUCCCGUUGGUGAAUCUUUUGUACUAUUAUAUCAGUGACUCAAAGACGGUUAUUUCCUGUAUUUUGUCAAUGAAUUCUGUAACCUCUCUUAUUAUUGGGGAAUUUUGAGCCAGCCCUUAUUAUAGGGAUAUACAGUGGUAUGUAAGUUAUGAGUUCAAUGUUUAUCUGUGAAAACUCUGAGUUUAAAUUAUUGUAAAAAUGCAAGUUUUGAAAAAUUGUUAAAUAAAAAAAUAAAUUAAAGAAAAUUAAAACUUUAAAACAAAUUACAAAAAGAAAGAAAAGAAAGAAAAGAAAAG